AACCUAGCACACCUGCGGUGUGUACCUGCGGAAGGAUCAUUAAUAAAUGUUACUUCGGUAACUUAAUUAAUCCCUAACACCUGUGCAUCUUGUCGCUUCGGCGUCAUUUUAUAAACAUCAGUGUAAUGAAUGUAAAGUAUUAUAACAAAUACAACUUUCAACAAUGGAUCU
rnacentral:misc_RNA from 1 species